rnacentral:rRNA from 1 species
GGGCCGUUGUUGAUUGGGGGGCCUUUUUGGUUCCGCCACRAUAUUAAAGUGCGAAAACUGCUUGGNUUAUUGUCUGGCRAAUCCGCAGCCGGCCCCCCGGGGUUGGUCCAACGACUAAAUAAUAACGGCUGACUUGGGUCAVCUAANAUAUAGUCUUAACCCCUGGAGUGAUUCAGCGGGAUCGUUGCAUUAAAUCAGUUAUCGUUUAUUUGAUAGUACCUCACUACAUGGAUAACCGUGGUAAUUCUAGAGCUAAUAMAUGCUAAAAACCUCAMCUUCRGAAGGGGUGUAUUUAUUAGAUAAAAAACCAAKGCCCUUCGGGGCUCCUUGGUGAUUCAUAAUAACUCAACGAAUCGKAUGGCCUUGCNCCGGCGAUGGUUCAUUCAAAUUUCUGCCCUAUCAACUUUCGAUUGUAAGGWAGUGGCCUACAAUGGUGGCAACGGGUAACGGGGAAUUAGGUUAGUCUUUCAUUCUGUCAGCAAA